UCCUACGGGAGGCAGCAGUAGGGAAUAUUGGGCAAUGGGCGCAAGCCUGACCCAGCCAUGCCGCGUGCAGGAAGAAGGCGCUCCGCGUUGUAAACUGCUUUUGUCGGGGAAGAAACGACUCCUGCGGGAGGCAUUGACGGUACCCGAGAAUA
rnacentral:rRNA from 1 species